rnacentral:tRNA from 1 species
GCAGCCGUGGCCUACUGGUUUAAGCCUUCGGACUUGUAACCAGAGGGUUGUCGGUUCGAACACUGACCAGUCGCA